GUAGCCGAGUGGUAAUGGCAACGAGCUCAAGGCUGGCGUUGUCGAGUCACGGGUUCGAGUCCCGUUGCCG